rnacentral:rRNA from 1 species
ACGAACGCUGGCGGCGUGCUUAACCCAUGCAAGUCGCACGGAAAGGCCCUGCUUUUGUGGGGUGCUCGAGUGGCGAACGGGUGAGUAACACGUGAGUAACCUGCCCUUGACUUUGGGAUAACUUCAGGAAACUGGGGCUAAUACCGGACAGGAGCUCCUGCUGCUUGGUGGGGGUUGGAAAGUUUCGGCGGUUGGGGAUGGGCUCGCGGCUUAUCAGCUUGUUGGGGGGGUAGUGGAUUACCAAGGCUCUGACGGGUAGCCGGGCUGAGAUGGCGACCGGCCAAGUUAGAAUGGAGAUGCGACCCGGACUCGUCCGGUAGGCGGCAGUGCGGAAUAGUGCACUAUGGACGGAGGCCUAGUGCAGCCACGCCACGUGCGGUAUGACAUGCAUGGGGUUGUGUACCACUUUCGCCUUUGACGAGGCGUGAAUGACGGUAAUGGGUAAAGAAGCACCGGCUAACUACGUG